rnacentral:ncRNA from 2 species
GGACGAGCCUCUGGAGAGACUGUAAACAAACGCUGUUUGUCAGCGAUUGUCAUUACAGCGCCGAAGGCGAAAGUGAGGCUGACUUAUCAGUCACGCGAAACGCUCAGGCAAAAGGACAGAGGAGAGGAU